rnacentral:rRNA from 1 species
UUUCCGGUUGAUCCUGCCGGACCUGACUGCUAUCGGAUUGAUACUAAGCCAUGCGAGUCUUUGUAGUAAUACAAGGCAGACGGCUCAGUAACGCGUAGUCAACCUACCCUAUGGACGGGAAUAAUCUCGGGAAACUGAGCAUAAUACCCGGCGUACCACCAUUCCUGGAAUGGUUGGUGGUUAAAAUGAUUCGUCGCCGUAGGAUGGGACUGCGACCUAUCAGCUUGUUGGUGAGGUAAAGGCCCACCAAGGCGAUUACAGGUACGGGCUCUGAGAGGAGAAGCCCGGAGAUGGGUACUGAGACACGGACCCAGGCCCUAUGGGGCGCAGCAGGCGAGAAAACUUUGCAAUGUGCGAAAGCACGACAAGGUUAAUCCGAGUGAUUUCUGCUAAAGGAAUCUUUUGCCAGUUCUAAAAAUACUAGUGAAUAAGGGGUGGGCAAGUUCUGGUGUCAGCCGCCGCGGUAAAACCAGCACCUCAAGUGGUCAGGAGGAUUAUUGGGCCUAAAGCAUCCGUAGCCUGCUCUGUAAGUUUUCGGUUAAAUCUAUAUGCUCAACGUAUAGGCUGCCGAAAAUACUGCAGUGCUAGGAAGUGGGAGAGGUAGACGGUACUUGAUAGGAAGGGGUAAAAUCCUUUGAUCUAUCGAUGACCACCUGUGGCGAAGGCGGUCUACCAGAACACGUUCGACGGUGAGGGAUGAAAGCUGGGGGAGCAAACCGGAUUAGAUACCCGGGUAGUCCCAGCUGUAAACGAUGCAGACUCGAUGAUGCAUUGGCAUAUAGCCAGUGUAGUGUCGCAGGGAAGCCGUUAAGUCUGCCGCCUGGGAAGUACGUACGCAAGUAUGAAACUUAAAGGAAUUGGCGGGGGAGCACCACAAGGGGUGAAGCCUGCGGUUCAAUUGGAGUCAACGCCGGG